AGGAAAGAGAGGACGCAAAAGCGAGGCUGAGAAAGAGGUAGAAGGCGAAAGGAAGAGCGAGGAGAGACCGACGGAGGUGGCGGGUUCAGAACAAUUUCAGCACCGGACAGCUCCAGCUCCCAUCACACCCUCCAUCCAGACAGGACAGGGCGGCAUCAAUCUCACACUGUGUACCGUGUUUGCCCCUGUAGACAUCUUUGUGUGCACAGUCUAAUCACAGCGCUGUUGAACCUGCAGCGGACUCACCAGCUACCCGAGGGGGAAGCGUCACUUUUCAGCAAGCACUUAACCCCUUGAAUGCUGUUCCCCAGAAGAAAAUGCUGCAGAAAAGAGAAAAAGCCCCAACAUGUCUCUUAGCAACCAGUCCAGAGAGGUAUAGAUUCGCCUAUAGAUCAAUUAUAUCUUUCCCCGGAGGUAAUUGUGUGUCCAGUGUUGGUGAACAUGCCAUGAACAGAUCCUUAACUGUUUGACUGAUUGUUUGUAAAAAGAGAUUAUUAUUAUUUAGAAAAUCAUUACACGAGCUAUUUACCUUUGGAGACCAAAUACUAAAACGCCCAUAAAUGUCAUUAUUAACUUUUUUUUUUGCUUAUUAUUUUUUCCUUACACUUGUUCCACAACUGUGUUUCUGUAUCAGGUGGUUCAACAGAAGAAAAGACUGUUGGGUGAUGAGACGCCUGUGUCAUUACAUCAUGGACCCCUUUUUUACGCGUUUUAGGGGCUUCAAGCGAGAUACCAGAUGGCAACCACGGUCAGCAGCACAAAAAACAGACGCAGUGGCUGGCAUUUCAAAAGAAAAAAAGGAGCAACGCAUGACGGAUGUCCGGGGUGGACUGCCAGUGGAUAGAAAAUGUAAAGCAGCUCUUAGUCAGAAUCAGUGGAGGGGGUCAAAUAUAAUCAUGACUGUGGGCCUGCAUCUGUGGUUAUCUUGAGUACUUUAGCCUGGGAUUUGCUGAUGGAUAGUAUUCUUUUGUUUGACGCACAGAUGGUUUUAUUACACAUUAAAAAAUGUAUUGUGGUGAUGAUUGUGUUUAAUGAGUUUAAUGAGGGCUUCUGAACAACACGGUGAUUUGCUUGGUCAGCCCUAAUCUGAGAGAAAACACUGUGACUGUAUGGUGGUGCGUCCAAUCUUUCCUUGCCUUCAUCUUCCUUUACGUUUGACAAAUUUGGAUAGACACUGACAAACACUGGCAAACACUGAUGCUUAUUUGUUCAAAUCUUUGCAUCAAAAUAAAAUAGGAUAUAAUUUGCAUGAGCAUUUGCCCAAUGGUCAGUAUCAAUGACUUUGUAUUAAAAAAACGCUUUGACAAAUAUACAACAUAUUUAAUAUUCAUUUUUGUUCUUAGGCUCAUGGUCUGGGGCAGGGAGGCAGUUAUUCCCUUUACGACUUAAAUUGACUACUAACAAAGUAACUAUUAGAAACUAAAAAGGGGAGAAAAAAACCCCAAAUACAUAGCAUUAAGAAUCCUGGUGAUUUGGUUCAAACCCAUUUUAGGUCACAUUUCCUUUUGGUGGUCGUAUUAAGAGCAUUUUAACGCCUGUUGAAUUUCAAUGUAUUCUGAUGAAUUUGCAUGCUAUUUCAUCAGCUGCCAGUAUGGGUUUUUCUCAAGAUCAGUCUGUGCUGUGCGCUCUCUAUUUCUAUCUGUGCUAAACCAGGUGAUCCAUAAAAUAAUUUUUAAAGUUUUCGGUCAAAGCUGUAGUCUCGCCCAGUCCAACUAAAAGAAUUCACUGUUUCUAUAUAAACAGAGGGUGAAAGUCAGGACAUUUUACUACAGGCUAUUACUGUCAUAAGAAGGAUCUACUUGCACUUAUUAAACAACUAAGCCUGCAGCAAUAUUUAUACAAAGCCUGAAAACUGUUUAUCAUUGUUGUACUUUUUAAGAUGUGUUUCUGUUGUCUGAGCCUAUAACCCAAUUGUCUGCCACUAGACACAAAUUCCCAUUGUGUCACAUACAUAAAAAAUACAACUUUUGAUUUUGUCUGACAUAAUGAAUAAUGUAUUGCAUGCAUGUACUGUAUAUGUCAACUACAGAGCUGCUUUUCUAACAUAUUGUUAGUACAGAACGAAAACAACAUCCACAUCACUCACCUCACCUCAGAGUCCCAUCAAUUUAUACCUUUUAUAUUAUUUAUAUUUUUAUAGUAUUUGUAAAGUCAGAAAAUAGUGUUAUCAGUUAAUUGAAGGUUGCAUUGUUUACCUAAUGGGGAUAUUAUGGUUUGUCAUUUCCAUCUUCAGCCUAUACUUGUUUUCAAUAAUCUAUGCACAUAUUUAUGCAUUCAGUCUGUCAUUUUCUUCCCAUCAUCCUUUAACUGUCGGGAGAAGAAGAAGCCAAUCACAGCUGAUUUGGGGGUAAAAGCCUUGGUACCAUGGACAGCUCCCCAAACACAAGCAGACAACAAUCUCGUUUGCAUUCACGGCUGAGGGCAAGUAAAGUGUGAGUCCCCAAUUUAUUUGAAAAAAAAAAAA